UUCCCCAGGAGCCCAAACAGCAAGUCUGGAAGGCUUUCAUUCCGUAAUCAAUCACUUUGCUCCAAAAAUGUUUGGAUUUUCAUACCAUGGGAUGUUAAGCAGAUAAAAAAUUGCUGCCCUUCAUUACAAUGAAAAUGCUAUGCGAGAGCAAGCAUUUACCAAAGAUGGACAAGCACAAUAUAAUAUUGUGUAUCCAAAGUUCAAAAAGGGUGGAUUCACAGUUCGCGAGGUGAAAAUAGGUUGCACAUAUGGUUAUGUCAGCAAGCUUAUGGACAUUGUGUUUUCCAAUGCCAGAAAAACUAAAUUAAGUCAUGUAGAAGUGGACGGAAUUGCAGCGCCUCCUCCUCUCUGCAGUUCAUUUGAAAAACCUGACAAAGCGUCAGCGACUCUAGAGAUGACAUCGCGUUAUACUAAUAAUAGACAGGCCGAAAAUUAUGAAAUGGCUGAUGAUGGUUGCUGUUGAUGGUUAAUCGUGAUCCUGAAAACCAACAUAAGCAUCUUGGGGUGAAGGAAAACGACUUCGUAUUUGGUUAACAGCACAUGCUGGCAAAACCACCCUCACAUGCUUCCCAAGGUAUCCCCAUGUCCAUCUCACGAGCUGCCUGUAGCUAGUAUACCUAUAUCGUCUGAAAAGGACAUUAAUUAUUCAAUUUUAUUCAUGUUUGC